rnacentral:rRNA from 1 species
CGGGGGGGGCAAGCGUUGUUCGGAAUUACUGGGCGUAAAGGGCUCGUAGGUGGCCAACUAAGUCAGACGUGAAAUCCCUCGGCUUAACCGGGGAACUGCGUCUGAUACUGGAUGGCUUGAGUUCGGGAGAGGGAUGCGGAAUUCCAGGUGUAGCGGUGAAAUGCGUAGAUAUCUGGAGGAACACCGGUGGCGAAGGCGGCAUCCUGGACCGACACUGACACUGAUGAGCGAAAGCCAGGGGAGCAAACGGGAUUAGAUACCCCGGUAGUCCUGGCCCUAAACGAUGAAUGCUUGGUGUGGCGGGUAUCGAUCCCUGCCGUGCCGAAGCUAACGCAUUAAGCAUUCCGCCCGGGGAGUACGGUCGCAAGGCUG